UAUUUGGGAAGAACAGGAGGCCAGUGAGGCCUCUUGAUGUGAAUCAGGACAGAGAAAGGGAUUGAGUGGUAGCCUGGGGCUCAAACAUCCUGGUAAACCAUGACAAGAGCUGUUACUCCAAGUACUAUGGGAAAGCAAGCAGAGGGUUUUGAGCAGGAGAGCAACAUGAAUGUACUUGAAUUUUAAAGGGAGACCCUCUGGCGACGGUGUAAUGAUGGUUGCAGGGCCCCUCUUCAAUGGAGGCAUUGCCAGCCUUCUGGCCAUGAAGGAGAAAGUGAUUUCAACUAACCCAGGAAACUCUUACCUCUAAAUGGAGAUACUUCCUGAUAACAGAAGAAACUGGGCAUCUAACCCAGAAAUACCAGCUGAGUAGGAGAAGAGAAAAGGCAUCAGCCAGUCAAGGUUUCAGAAGGCUGCCAACAG
rnacentral:lncRNA from 10 species